AAAGGUCCUAUGCAAUUUUCCCGUAUCUCCAAGGGUUUACGAGUUAUUGAGAAAAAACGAAAUUUUUUGUCAAAAGCGAAAGGCUCCAAUAUUGCUGCACCAGAGAGAAAAACGGGUUCGCGGCCAUGAACGCUAGAUGGCGCCACGGGCAACCCCAAAUUGAUUUGAGGUAUUUGUACCUGUUUGUACCAGAGAUGAAAAGGGAGAUUGCUCAUUUCUUUGUUCGAAAGUGGACACGGCUCACUACCGCACCCUAGUGUCAAUGUCCAUUAUUUAAGGGGAAAUAGACGUAGUUUAGGAAGGAUUGUGCACUACUCCCCUCAAGAAGUGGACACGCCGAAGAGAGCUGAAAAUAUACGUAUAAGAUUUGCCAUGCUCGUGCCUAGGGUAUUCGUCUACAAGCGCUCCAUCUCGCGGCCGGCUUCGUGCAUCUCCUAAAAGAAGGGGCGCGUGUCGAGUGACGCAGUACGUGCGUGUGUGCGUGCUGACUGUCAGGCAAGCGAAUUCUAAAUUCACUCCUCGAGGCUCGGAAUCUUCGACGCUUCGAGACUCGGAGUCUUCGAGGCUCCGUGUGUUCGAAACCCAGACAAUCCACUCUUUUUUUCUUUGUUGUUUAUUCAUCUGAAAAAAUUCCAACACGUCCGUAGCAUAACUGGACACAUCUGAGAAUUAUUUCAGAUUUUUUUGUUACAAAAUGUAACCGUGAAAAAUAAGAAGAUUUUUAGGUUUGGUGCGUCAAUGCGAAAAAAAUCAAAAACUAUGUACGUCUCAUGUUGAAGUACGUAAAUGAAAGACGCGCUUCCAGCAGCGGCAACAGCGAAGGGGUGAUGACACGAGGU